GCACUACACCACAUUCUCCGUGCUCAGCCUGCUACGGAAGUCCUGUUCAUUAAGCAGCAGAGAUGGGUGGAAGUGAAGACCAGCAGUUCAAAGGUCCUUCUAGCGUCUCCACCAGGUGUGUUCACAGCUGAACACUCGUUUUGUUAUGACUGAGAAGUUGCUCACAGCUCCAAGUCUCCAUUCUGCUCUUGGGAACUCCAUCUAGGACAUUCGUGUGGAACUCCAUGGAGAUGACAAGAAAUGAUUUGGGACUUCCCAGACCACAGAGAAGCCUACGGAAGUGCAGCAAGACAUUUGAAACAAUACUUGACUCUCACCAUCACCGUUGCUUCAAGACGCAUUCAGUCCUUAACGCUUUGUGAUCUGAUGUCCAUCUGGGCCACCCUCCUGAAGAAACGCUUCGUCAAGAAAUCUAAGGAAUUCCUGCUUUGUAAGCCCAGUGGACCCUUUCAAUUUUCAUCUGACAGUUCCUUUAUGCAACACGUAGCGCCGCUAACCACUCCUUCCUUUUGGAAACACUCUUCUUUGGCUCCCCAAACACCAUCGUCCUGCCCCUCUGACCACUCCGGCUCAGUCUCUUUCCCAGUGCUCCUCUUCCUCAGACCAACCAUGAAAAGCCCCUGGUACUCUAUCUUCUCUAAAGCGUCUUCCUGACUGAUCUCACCCAUAUACUGAUGAAAACUUUAUUUACAGCCCCAACUUUUUCCUGGGCUUUGUAGAAAUAUAUCUAAUUACAUAUCAUGGCCACAGUUACUGACUUCACUGCCCUGAUUCAGUGCCUCACAUCCCUCAUUUCAUUAUUGGAUCUUUAAAAAGGGUCUUGACUAAUCUUGCCUCCAAGAUUGUCUUCCCUCCAGCUC
ensembl:lncRNA